CUUGAAGAAGACCAUCUGACAGGCCAGGACACGCAGAUCCAAUGGGAAGUGCUUCAGAUGAAGGAGCAAGGUGCUGUGAUCUGAUUUCAGGUCCUGCUGCUGUUUCUCCAGCUGGGACUCCAGCAACUUCAUCUUCCUCCCCGCG